AUGAGUCACCUGUUUUGGAACUGCCGGGGGGCGUGGAACCGCCGGACAGUUCAUGAAGUUGGGGCUCUUGUAAAAGCCCAUUCCCCAAGCUUGGCCUUUCUUGCUGAAACGAGACAGCCAAGUGCAAAAGUUGAAAGAAUGAAGUGGAAACUAGGUCUGAAAGGAUUCUAUGGUGUGGAUUCUGAGGGUCGUGGGGGAGGAUUAGCAUUAUUUUGGGAUGAAUCCCUCUAUGUGACAGUUCUUGAUUCUUGUAAGAGAUACAUUGAUGUAACUGUUGUUGAUCAGGGAUCCGGGAAAACAUGGAGGUCUACCUUUGUCUAUGGGGAACCAUGUGUGGAACAUCGGCAACGCAUG
rnacentral:rRNA from 1 species